UGCUUUCUUUCUACGGAGUGAAAUUUCUUCAGACAAUUAGGGAUUACAAUCGAGAUACCCAUUCCAAUAAGGAAUACCUGCACGAAAGUAGCAAAUCGUGGGUAGAAAUUCGUGCAUGUGAAAACAGUUCUUGCACGUGUCAACUAACGAAAAAUCAAGAUUGAAAUUUGUAGUGAUCUCUUUUUAUGCUACGAAGAUAACGAAAAUAUUCGGGGCGACUUAGAGUCAAAUAAACCGUAAAAUCUGGCACAAUGGAGCGCAAACUCUACCUCACCAACAUAACAUGCAAUCAGAAGAUCGACGUCAAGUUCUUGGAUCUAUCGUACGCAGUCCGCACUAGAUAUUGCGGAUCGAAGAAGCAGAUCCUCAAAGGUCUAAACGGAAUUUUUCGAUCCGCCGAGCUGACGGCCAUUAUGGGGCCGUCGGGUGCCGGCAAGACAAUGUUGCUGAGCAUCUUGAGUGGCUUCCAGGAAGGCUUGUACACGGGGACGGUGGAGUACCUCAAACAAGGUAACAAGCAGAAUCGGUACAGUUGCAAAAAACAGCUGUGCUACAUUCAGCAGACAAACCAUCUGCAUGACUACUUCACCAUCAACGAGGUCAUGAUGAUUGCGAGUUAUCUGAAGAUUGAUCGGAGAAUUUCGCGUAAGUCAAGGCAGAUGCUGAUCAACGAUAUAUUGAGCACACUUAUGUUAUUGCACAUCAAAGAGACCCGAACUGACCGGCUGAGCGGUGGUGAGAAGAAAAGACUGAGCAUCGCCUUGGAGAUGAUUGAUAAUCCAUCGCUCAUGUUCUUAGACGAACCGACUACUGGUCUGGAUUCUUCGGCGUCUGUGCAGUGCUUAACCGCGUUGAAGAAACUGGCGCAAACCGGCAGGACGAUUAUCUGCACCAUACAUCAACCCAGCACAACGCUUUAUGAGAUGUUCGAUCACAUCUAUCUGGUAGUGGACGGUCACUGCAUGUAUCGCUCGCCACCAGGCGAUACGGUCAACUACUUUGCUCGGCAAGGUCUUCAGUGUCCAAAAUAUCACAACCCUGCGGACUACAUGCUGGAAGUGGUGUCAAAGGAGUAUGGUAAUUACGACGAACAGUUGAUCGCGGCAAGCAAGUGGCCUGAGUCGAAUGACGAGAUAUGUUCGUCGAAGUUAUCAUGCAACAUGACCCGACAGAAGAUAUCCAACAACAAUCAGAUGAUAACAUUGACGUGCCCGCCAACAGAACUGAUGCGAUUCUGGGUUUUGCUGCAGCGCUACAUGAUGUUAACAUAUCGUAUGCGCAAGACGGUGUAUAUCCAACUGAGCGGUCACUUAUUCGUAUCGGUGCUGGCCGGUCUUAUUUAUAAACACACCGGCAAUGAUGCCAACAAAAUAUUUGGCAACCUCUGCUAUUUGUUGGUGAGCACGUUAUACCCAUGUUUCUUCGGAUUGAUGUCGGCCGUGAUCAAGUUUCCCUUAGAGAUUGUCAUUCUGCGGAAGGAGCACUUCAACAAUUGGUACCAGUUGAGAACUUGUUAUAUAGCCAUAUUGGUGAGCACAAUACCGUUGCAGACGAUCUACGGCUUCCUGGGCUCGUCCAUCACCUACUACAUGACCAGUCAACCGCCUGAAUUCUCUCGCUUCUUCAUGUAUCUGCUCAUCAAUAUCUUAUCUUUCUUCAUUUCCGAAAGCCUGGGCUUAGGAUUGGGCGCGACUUUCGAACCUGUCAAUGGAUUCUUCGUCGGAUCUAUCAUCGUGUGCGCCAUGUUCUCUCUCGCCGGUCUUAUAGUCUUCUUCAAGGAUAUGACCAGUUUCAUGUACUACAUCAGUUACCUGAGCAUGCUACGAUACGCCUUCGACGGUGCGGUUCAAUCCGUCUACGGCAAUGGCCGUGAGAAUUUACAAUGCUCAGAUAUUUAUUGCCAUUUUCGAGCGCCGAGUACGAUACUGGAAAUGCUCGACAUGACUAAAUCAUCAUUUUGAUUAUCGAACAUCGAACAGCUGUAAAUCUUGAGCAGUGCCACAAUAAUGUAAGCAACAAUAUGAGGUUUCCCGCCAGCAACUCGGUGCACGCGAUUAAAAUUAUCCUCGCAAUCAUCUGAAUUAAAAUUUGAUCUUAUUUUCAGCCUUAUUAUUCCAUUCAACACAUAUUUUGAUACUUUGAAACCUAUACGUCAACCUCUUUUGAUUCUAGUUAACCUAUCCGAGUUGAAAUGUUCCUACUUUUAGCCUGCCUAUUCUAUUUAACACUUUUUUGACGUAGGAGAAAAUAAAAAGGGAAAUUUCACACAUCAUGUGAGUAGGAGUAAAUUAUAUCAUUAUAAUUAAGGAAAUAUUCUAAUGUGACGGGUAAAAAACUGACUUUUUGCGACUUAUUAUAGCUUGAGGCCUUGAAAAUAUGUCCCUAAUAUACCAAGAUGAAAAUCGUUAAAUUGAUCGAGUUAUAAAUGUUUAAAGGACACAUCCUCCAUACGGCGCGCCAACUGAGAUGAAUGACAAAGUGUUAAAUGUUAUUCAACCAAUUUACGAAGAUUUAACUAUCGGUGGUUUAUUACAGCAAUGUCUCGAAUAAUUUACUCAGGAUAAUAACGAAAGUUUAAAUUCAUUAAUUUGGACAAUUGCACCAAAACAUCUGUAUUGCGGAAAGAAGAUGAUGGAUGCUGCAGAGACAACGAGCACAUUAAACGUUUUGAGCAGCGAGCGUCGUAUGAGUCGAAAGGAACAAGAAUUGCUAAGAGACAAAAGAAGAUUAACAAACAUGGGUUCUUUGAAGUUGAGGAAGAUCUUUUGUAUGGUCAUGGUAUAGCUAAUUAAAAAUAACGAGGACGGUGGCAAUCAACUCUCCCGAUGGAAGAUAUUUUGCGGUGUGACCAGUUUCGUCUACUAGUAUUUCUUCAAUUUUGAAUAAAAAGCUUUGACAAAAUAUGAGAUAUUUCUUCAAAGAUAAAGAAAUGUCAAUACGAACCAUUAACUUUGUAGGUUUAACCAUUUGCUUGAAAUUAAUUCCCAAAUAUUGCCUUGAAACCGGGUGAAGAAAAGUGCUGAUGAAAGUCAACGAAUGCUAUUGGAAGUUUAUGAUAAUUAUAUUUCACCGAUUUCAACAUGUGAGUACUGGUUUCGACGCUAUAAAAAAGGUGAUUUUGACACGGAAGACAAGGAACGUCCA